rnacentral:sRNA from 2 species
GAAAUUCCUCGUUAGGAAGAGGCGUUAGCACAAACAGAAGCUACUGCCCAGAAACGUCGAAAGACGCCAAUGCGGUAGACCAGAUUCAGUCGGAUUAAGGCUUUAUCUAAGGUAGCUGGUGGUGGUUCACCUACGUUGUGCUCUGCUAAAACUCAAACCAGGGGAAAAUG